UUUAAUGUUUAAAAUACUUGAUGUCUUGUGUUUUGAGAAGGACCCAGUAAGAACAGGUGGAAUGACUACUCUGCUGAGAUACACUCUUAAUUAA